AUUGAACGCUGGCGGCAGGCUUAACACAUGCAAGUCGAACGAGUGGCGGACGGGUGAGUCAUGCUUGGGAAUCUAGCUUAUGGAGGGGGAUACAUACGGGAAACUGUAGCAAAUACCGCGUAACAUAGGAUGAGCACAAGUGGGAUUAGGUAAUUGGUGAGGUAAAGGCUAACCAAGCCGACGAUCUCUAGCUGGUCUGAGAGGAUGACCAGCCACACUGGUAAUGAGACACGGCCCAGACUCCUACGUGAGGCAGCAGUGGGGAAUAUUGCGCAAUGGGGGCAACCUGACGCAGCCAUGCCGCGUGAAUGAAGAAGGCCUUCGGGUUGUAAAGUUCUUUCGGUAGCGAGGCGUUAACGACAGAAGAAGCACCGGCUAACUCCGUGCCAGCAGCCGCGGUAAUAC
rnacentral:rRNA from 1 species